rnacentral:tRNA from 3 species
GGGCGAUUAACUCAGCGGGAGAGUGCCACCUUGACGUGGUGGAAGUCAUAGGUUCAAACCCUAUAUCGCCCA